rnacentral:rRNA from 1 species
GACGUAGGGCGCGAGCGUUGUCCGGAUUUAUUGGGCGUAAAGAGCUCGUAGGCGGCUACAGUAAGUCGGGUGUGAAACCCCUGGGCUCAACCCAGGGACGCCACCCGAUACUGCUGUGGCUGGAGUCCGGUAGGGGAGCGUGGAAUUCCUGGUGUAGCGGUGAAAUGCGCAGAAUAUCAGGAGGAACACCAGCGGCGAAGGCGG